AGUGAACGCUGGCGGUAGGCCUAACACAUGCAAGUCGAACGGCAGCACAGUAAGAGCUUGCUCUUACGGGUGGCGAGUGGCGGACGGGUGAGGAAUACAUCGGAAUCUACUUUUUCGUGGGGGAUAACGUAGGGAAACUUACGCUAAUACCGCAUACGACCUACGGGUGAAAGCAGGGGAUCUUCGGACCUUGCGCGAUUGAAUGAGCCGAUGUCGGAUUAGCUAGUUGGCGGGGUAAGGGCCCACCAAGGCGACGAUCUGUAGCUGGUCUGAGAGGAUGAUCAGCCACACUGGAACUGAGACACGGUCCAGACUCCUACGGGAGGCAGCAGUGGGGAAUAUUGGACAAUGGGCGCAAGCCUGAUCCAGCCAUACCGCGUGGGUGAAGAAGGCCUUCGGGUUGUAAAGCCCUUUUGUUGGGAAAGAAAAGCAGCAGGUUAAUACCCCGCUGUUCUGACGGUACCCAAAGAAUAAGCAUCGGCUAACUUCGUG
rnacentral:rRNA from 1 species